AACCGGAGUAGUGCAUUGGAAACUAGGAGACUUGAGUGCAGAAGAGGAGAGUUGAACUCCAUGUGUAGCGGUGAAAUGCGUAGAUAUAUGGAAGGACACCAGUGGCGAAAGAGGCUCUCUGGUCUGUAACUGACGCUGAGGUUCGAAAGCGUGGGUAGCAAACAGA
rnacentral:rRNA from 1 species